CACAGGUGUUCUACACAUUUAUUUGCUAAACCCUAUCCCAGGGAGAACUCCAUGCUUCCAAAAUCACGGUAACCAGCAAGAAUGAAGGUCAGGAGCCUCCAGUAAGCUGAUCCCAGGCUUGCUCUUAGGUGCUGUGGCCAGGUCUUCCUCUGAUUGUGGAAAGUGGGAGCUACUCUCAAACUGCAAUGCCAGGGCUUCUCAUUGCAGCGGCUUCUCUGGUGGAGCACAAGCUCUAGGGCUUGUGGGAUAGAAGAAGGAAUUCAUAGGGCCUGGACUCCACCUUAGGCCUGUUC